ACGCUCGACACCUACGGGAGGCAGCAGUGAGGAAUAUUGGUCAAUGGCGCUAGCCUGAACCAGCCAAGUAGCGUGAAGGAUGAAGGCUCUAUGGGUCGUAAACUUCUUUUAUAUAAGAAUAAAGUGCAGUAUGUAUACUGUUUUGUAUGUAUUAUAUGAAUAAGGAUCGGCUAACUCCGUGCCAGUAGCCGCGGUAAUCUGAGCGGGCUGGGCAAGGC
rnacentral:rRNA from 1 species